rnacentral:rRNA from 1 species
AGAGUUUGAUCAUGGCUCAGAUUGAACGCUGGCGGCAGGCCUAACACAUGCAAGUCGAGCGGUAGCACAGAGAGCUUGCUCUCGGGUGACGAGCGGCGGACGGGUGAGUAAUGUCUGGGAAACUGCCUGAUGGAGGGGGAUAACUACUGGAAACGGUAGCUAAUACCGCAUAAUGUCGCAAGACCAAAGUGGGGGACCUUCGGGCCUCAUGCCAUCAGAUGUGCCCAGAUGGGAUUAGCUAGUAGGUGGGGUAACGGCUCACCUAGGCGACGAUCCCUAGCUGGUCUGAGAGGAUGACCAGCCACACUGGAACUGAGACACGGUCCAGACUCCUACGGGAGGCAGCAGUGGGGAAUAUUGCACAAUGGGCGCAAGCCUGAUGCAGCCAUGCCGCGUGUGUGAAGAAGGCCUUCGGGUUGUAAAGCACUUUCAGCGGGGAGGAAGGCGNCGAUUGACGUUACCCGCAGAAGAAGCACCGGCUAACUCCGUGCCAGCAGCCGCGGUAAUACGGAGGGUGCAAGCGUUAAUCGGAAUUACUGGGCGUAAAGCGCACGCAGGCGGUCUGUCAAGUCGGAUGUGAAAUCCCCGGGCUCAACCUGGGAACUGCAUUCGAAACUGGCAGGCUAGAGUCUUGUAGAGGGGGGUAGAAUUCCAGGUGUAGCGGUGAAAUGCGUAGAGAUCUGGAGGAAUACCGGUGGCGAAGGCGGCCCCCUGGACAAAGACUGACGCUCAGGUGCGAAAGCGUGGGGAGCAAACAGGAUUAGAUACCCUGGUAGUCCACGCCGUAAACGAUGUCGAUUUGGAGGUUGUGCCCUUGAGGCGUGGCUUCCGGAGCUAACGCGUUAAAUCGACCGCCUGGGGAGUACGGCCGCAAGGUUAAAACUCAAAUGAAUUGACGGGGGCCCGCACAAGCGGUGGAGCAUGUGGUUUAAUUCGAUGCAACGCGAAGAACCUUACCUGGUCUUGACAUCCACAGAACUUUCCAGAGAUGGAUUGGUGCCUUCGGGAACUGUGAGACAGGUGCUGCAUGGCUGUCGUCAGCUCGUGUUGUGAAAUGUUGGGUUAAGUCCCGCAACGAGCGCAACCCUUAUCCUUUGUUGCCAGCGGUNNNNNNNNNNNNNNNNNNNGGCCGGGAACUCAAAGGAGACUGCCAGUGAUAAACUGGAGGAAGGUGGGGAUGACGUCAAGUCAUCAUGGCCCUUACGACCAGGGCUACACACGUGCUACAAUGGCAUAUACAAAGAGAAGCGACCUCGCGAGAGCAAGCGGACCUCAUAAAGUAUGUCGUAGUCCGGAUUGGAGUCUGCAACUCGACUCCAUGAAGUCGGAAUCGCUAGUAAUCGUAGAUCAGAAUGCUACGGUGAAUACGUUCCCGGGCCUUGUACACACCGCCCGUCACACCAUGGGAGUGGGUUGCAAAAGAAGUAGGUAGCUUAACCUUCGGGAGGGCGCUUACCACUUUGUGAUUCAUGACUGGGGUGAAGUCGUAACAAGGUAACCGUAGGGGAACCUGCGGUUGGAUCACCU